AGCGAACGUUCGCGGCGGGCCUAACACAUGCAAGUCGAACGCGAAAGGGAUUCGUCCCCGGUAGCGUGGCGUCCGGGUGAGUAACACGUAGGAAACCUUCCCUCGAGCGGGGGAUAACGUCCCGAAAGGGACGCUAAUACCGCAUAUGCCCACGCCGACCUCGGUCGGAGAGGGGAAAGCUGGCCUCUGUACACAAGCUAGCACUCGAGAAUGGUCCUGCGGCGCAUCAGCUAGUUGGUGGGGUAACGGCCUACCAAGGCGAAGACGCGUAGCUGGUCUGAGAGGAUGAUCAGCCACACUGGCACUGAAACACGGGCCAGACUCCUACGGGAGGCAGCAGUGGGGAAUAUUGGACAAUGGGCGCAAGCCUGAUCCAGCCACGCCGCGUGAGUGAUGAAGGCCUUCGGGUUGUAAAGCUCUGUGGGUAGGGACGAAAACGGUCCGGAAGAAACGACGGAUCCUUGACGGUACCUACUUAGCAAGCACCGGCUAACUCUGUG
rnacentral:rRNA from 1 species